rnacentral:rRNA from 1 species
UACGUAGGGGGCUAGCGUUGUCCGGAUUUAUUGGGCGUAAAGAGCGUGUAGGCGGCCAGGUAGGUCUGCUGUGAAAACUCGAGGCUCAACCUCGAGACGUCGGCGGAAACCAUCUGGCUAGAGUCCGGAAGAGGAGAGUGGAAUUCCUGGUGUAGCGGUGAAAUGCGCAGAUAUCAGGAGGAACACCAGUGGCGAAGGCGGUGCUCUGGGCCGGAACUGACGCUGAGGAGCGAAGGCCAGGGGAGCAAACGGG